UAUAUAUUUUGCUAGAUUUAUACCUAAGUAAUCCUUUUAUGUGUGUGUGUGACUGGUAUUCUAUUUAAUUUUCAAAUUCUAGUUGUUCAUUGCUGAUUUUUAAGGAGGCAAUUGAAUUAAAAAUUUUUUUUAAUUUUAUUUUACCUAUUUGAAAGGCAGAGAGAUGGAGAGGCAGAGGUCUCCUGUUCUCUAUACAUUCCUCAAAUGCUUUCAACAGUCAAGGCCCGGCCAAGUCGAGCCGAACUCAAUCUGGAUCUUCCACGUGCGUGGCAGAAAGCCAACUACUCCAGCCAUCACCUUAGGUCUCCCAGGGAAAGGGACGUCGAGGCACAGAAGUUCAACAGGAAGGAUCACAGUUCCCCAGUAUUAUUGAUCCCGUGGGUUCGAGGACCACGUUUGGAGAGACAAGACUCGAUUGGACCCUGUAUCUCUCUGGCCUCACUUCCUUCCCGUCUCUUCCUGCUCCUCUCACUCCGCCAGCCCGAUUCCCCCUGCCCUUCCCCGGUUCUGGAGUGAGAGGCCCCCACCCCACCCCCGCCCUGUCCCUCGCCACCUGUCAGUGGUGGGACAGCUCAGGGCACUGAAGAAGCUUCCCCACAGACUGGCUGGCCAGCACGGGGCCAGACCUGUGAGUGGGGCCAGCCUCUCCCACCACCUCCUAGGCCCCCGGAUGCUGGGAGCAGCACUCGGUCUCCCGUGAAAUGGAGAAAUGAUCACAAGACCUGACCUCACAGGCUUGACUUGAGGAGAAGAUGAGUUUGUGCAGGUGAGGCCGUUGGCUCGCUGCCUGGCACAUAGUAAACACUCGUACCGAAGCCUCUGCCCUGUGUUCCUGGGGGCAGCGGCCCUCAAACCUGCGCAUACCCCUCAUUCCCCUGGAGCAUCUGUGUGAACGCAGACGGCUGCCCUCACUUAGGGCUUCCGAUUUAGUGGGUCUGUACAGGGGCGGGGGUGGGGCGGGGGGAGGUUGGCUGGGUUUCUGAAAAGGUGCCAGGCGCUGCUGCUGAGGAGCUGGGAGGCCGGCUCGCACCGCGCGGGUCUGGGGCUUCACCGCGGCCGCCGCAGAGUGGCUGCACUGAGGCCCCGGGCCCCUCCUGCGUGCCGGCUGCCUCCUGCCUGGCCCGGCGCCCCAGCCUUCGGAAGGCCCCCUCCACCCUGCUUUGUUUGCAUUCCUGGAGCCUGUGUCAGCCUGGGCAGCAGGCGUGUCUACUCGGGCCGGCCUGGCGUGGCCCCGAUGGCCGGCCCUUCACUCCAGGCCUCCUGGGCCGGGGCCGCAGUGGCCACGCAGGGCUCACUUAGCGGGCCAGUGACUCACUUCCUCCCGGAUUCCGGGAAAUGCCUCCCCGCUGCUGCUGCUUUCUUGUUUAAUGAGAAGUUCUCUGCAAGACUUCCAUGGCAACCUUGGGAUGGGGAGGCAGGAGGGGGAGGAGGCCAAAUCCAUUCCCCAGAGGGGCCCCAAGAAUUCCUGUCACACACACACACACACACACACACACACACACUCACUCACACUCCCAGCCCCUUGCCAGCCCCAGCCUGAGACCCCAAGCCACCAUGAUGGAGCUUUGGUCCAGGAGGGCCAGUCCCAGAAAUGCUUGCUUUUAUUAAAAAGGAAUGGCCUCACAAAGGCACGACUGUAGGAAAGGUUGUAAUUUGCCCAAAUAAAACUUAAUUUGAUCCAUGAAAUAGCUGUGGUUUAUUGUG